UCCGUAGGCGGUGUGGCAAGUCGGAAGUGAAAUCUCUGGGCUUAACUCAGAGGCUGCUUCCGAAACUGCCGUGCUAGAGUGCGAGAGAGGCAAGUGGAAUUGCGGGUGUAGCGGUGAAAUGCGUAGAUAUCCGCAGGAACAUCCGAGGCGAAAGCGGCUUGCUGGAUCGCAACUGACGCUGAGGGACGAAAGCUAGGGGAGCAAACAGGAUUAGAUACCCUGGUAGUCCUAGCCCUAAACCAUCAGGACUUGGGGUUUGCCCUGUACGGGGCAAGUCCCGUAGCUAACGCGUUAAGUCCUGCGCCUGGGGAGUACGGUCGACAAGGCUGAA
rnacentral:rRNA from 1 species